GACGAACGCUGGCGGCAUGCCUUACACAUGCAAGUCGAACGGCAGCACGGGUGCUUGCACCUGGUGGCGAGUGGCGAACGGGUGAGUAAUAUAUCGGAACGUACCUUAUUGUGGGGGAUAACGCAGCGAAAGCUGUGCUAAUACCGCAUAAUCCCUAAGGGGGAAAGCGGGGGACCGUAGGGCCUCGCGCAAUUAGAGCGGCCGAUACCUGAUUAGCUAGUUGGUGAGGUAAAGGCUCACCAAGGCAACGAUCAGUAGCUGGUCUGAGAGGACGAUCAGCCACACUGGGGCUGAGACACGGCCCAGACUCCUACGGGAGGCAGCAGUGGGGAAUUUUGGACAAUGGGGGCAACCCUGAUCCAGCAAUGCCGCGUGAGUGAAGAAGGCCUUCGGGUUGUAAAGCUCUUUUGUCAGGGAAGAAACAGCAGCUCUAACACAGUAUGCGAAUGACGGUACCUGAAGAAUAAGCACCGGCUAACUACGUGCCAGCAGCCGCCGUAA
rnacentral:rRNA from 1 species